GCUCAGAACGAACGCUGGCGGCAGGCCUAACACAUGCAAGUCGAGCGCCCCGCAAGGGGAGCGGCGGACGGGUGAGUAACGCGUGGGAACGUGCCUCUUGCUACGGAAUAGCCUCGGGAAACUGGGAGUAAUACCGUAUGUGCCCUACGGGGGAAAGAUUUAUCGGCAAGAGAUCGGCCCGCGUUGGAUUAGGUAGUUGGUGGGGUAAUGGCCUACCAAGCCGACGAUCCAUAGCUGGUUUGAGAGGAUGAUCAGCCACACUGGGACUGAGACACGGCCCAGACUCCUACGGGAGGCAGCAGUGGGGAAUCUUAGACAAUGGGCGCAAGCCUGAUCUAGCCAUGCCGCGUGAGCGAUGAAGGCCUUAGGGUUGUAAAGCUCUUUCAGUGGGGAAGAUAAUGACUGUACCCACAGAAGAAGCCCCGGCUAACUCCGUG
rnacentral:rRNA from 1 species